rnacentral:rRNA from 1 species
GAUGAACGCUGGCGGCGUGCCUAAUACAUGCAAGUCGAGCGAACGGACGAGAAGCUUGCUUCUCUGAUGUUAGCGGCGGACGGGUGAGUAACACGUGGAUAACCUACCUAUAAGACUGGGAUAACUUCGGGAAACCGUAGCUAAUACCGGAUAAUAUUUUGAACCGCGUGGUUCAAAAGUGAAAGACGGUCUUGCUGUCACUUAUAGAUGGAUCCGCGCUGCAUUAGCUAGUUGGUAAGGUAACGGCUUACCUAGGCAACGAUGCAUAGCCGACCUGAGAGGGUGAUCGGCCACACUGGAACUGAGACACGGUCCAGACUCCUACGGGAGGCAGCAGUAGGGAAUCUUCCGCAAUGGGCGAAAGCCUGACGGAGCAACGCCGCGUGAGUGAUGAAGGUCUUCGGAUCGUAAAACUCUGUUAUUAGGGAAGAACAUAUGUGUAAGUAACUGUGCACAUCUUGACGGUACCUAAUCAGAAAGCCACGGCUAACUACGUG